AAAAAGGGCAUGAGGACUCUCAAAAGAGACCAUACUCCCUUGUGACCUGAAGCCCUUGUGCGCAGCAGAAAGAGAGUUUUGACCGUUCUUGGAAAAAGACAGAACUGGGUGGACAUGGGCUCAGAAAUUUGCAAUAAAAAAAUGAAGCCUCGGAGAUUCCACUCUAAUAGCUGUGCGUGUCCAAGCGUGCUGCUGCCCGGCUGGCUCCGUCUUGCACCGUCUCCCCUCCUCAUGCCCCUUCCACCUGCCCCGCAUCUGUGCCUUCCCGUUCAUCAGGCACUGCUCCUCAUCUAAUCGAAACCUCCGGCACGGCUUCAGGCCAAAUGGCAUCAACCCCUCUGGCCGAGCGCCAGUAAAGCCCAGGAACUUGCCAGUUUGCGUUGGCUGCCGCCGUGUAUUUAGCUUUCUUUCACAUUUUUGUGAUAAUACAUCAUGUGGAUUUUGUGUGCACGUAUGUCUUUUCCUCCACCUACUCUGGAGCAUUAAUUUAGAUCCGGUCCUCAUGGAUCUUAAUUGUCUCAUUGACUGAGUCCUGUCGGUCCCUCUCACUGGACCUCACUGCACACUGGAUUGUGAGCCUCUGAGGAAAACCAAAAUAAAAGGGGGUUUUAUAAAGCUCCUGGCAAGGUGACCCCCCUGUCCUGACUGAGGUGUAGGCAAAUGCCAGCAUAAGACAAACAAAAGGAAAAUACGUUUGACUUCAAAUAGUCCUUGAAGCCGGUUCUUACAGCACCUCAUCAGUAUUUGCCUGUGUAAGGUGACACUGUCAGGCUGCCUUGCUUUGUGUCAGCGGCAAGUUUGGUGAUGGUGCCUUGCUCUUGUGAUCUAUCGUGGAUCUUGUGAUAUUUGUUGCUUGCUAAAAGCCUGGAUGUUUGGGGUCACAUGAGAAUCUGAGACAUCAGUUUUUCUGCUGUUACCAGGCCUCGUGGACAUAGGGAAACGGUUAAGGCCCUCCACGGUGAACCUGAAGACAAGGAUAUCAGAAGACAAAUAGACCUUCAGUUUUCUAGGGAAAAAAGACUGCACCACGCUGAGGUUAUGGACAGCUUUGGAAAGUCCAGCACUGAAGUUCUGCUGUGGUUGCCCCCCUCUCAAUCAGCAUGGGAUUUCCCCCACCUCGGCCUGCAAUUUCUAACUCUCCUAAUGGGGUACCAGCCUAGUUAAGAGCUCCUAGUCAAGAUCUCCUACACCUUCUGUGGGCAGGGUGUGUGACGCCGAACCCAGCCGUGCCCUCAACACCACCUGGAGAGACGUCAGCCAGCACUGGCUUUCCACUGCAUGCACCAGCAAGGAGGCCAAGGCACUAGCUGUACAUGGUCCCCAGCCUGCAUCAAUCACUUUUCAACCAACAAACAGCAUUUUCAGCCUGCAGAAAAUGAAAAUAAAUAAAUAAAUCAUAGCCCCAAGAGGUCUCUGUGGAAUUGCCGUGGAUUUUAGAUGUGCUGUGGCUGCUUUCAGUCCCUCCACUUACUCUUUGCAUCGCCCCACUGCCUGCUGCAAAUCCCAGUCUGUCUGCGCCUUUUCCCCAGCCCCUGCAGGGCUGGUGAAGCUGGCGACAUUGCACAAGACACAAGCCUCAGAAGUGGCUGGGGGAAGGAAGCAGAAGCCCGAAGAUGUGCCUUGUAGCAGGACUUAGCCAAGGAACGUCUUCCUGUUUGCAGGGCAAUCCUGUUAAGUAACGCAGCACCUUACCUUUCCCUAUUGCACAUUUGACCCGCUCUGUCCCUACUACAACCAGCUGCACUGGAUAUUGACAGGGACCAGGACCUGCCUCCGUGGGGAACCAUCUUCCAUGAGUGCUCAGCCCUGUCUGAGACCACCCCGUGUUCCUUCCCCUCAGCACAGACACCACUUUGUGCCUGAUUUUGACGGGCUGAGCUGUGUUUCCCGUGAGCCAACGCGCUGUAGUUUAUGCCUAUGCUCUCUGGUGCUGCCGUUCCCAGCCCACUAUCAUUUCACAUCAGGGUGCUCUGCACUCCACCUUUCAGCUCCUGCUCAUUACUGUGGGCACGCACAUGCCAUUAUUAGUACUCCGAGACACAGAGCAGGACCGGGUCCCUGUGCCAGGAUCUGUAAGGAAUGAUCCUGCCAGGGAGCAAACACAGCUGGGCUCAAGAAAUAGGGCAGGCAGGGAGCACACACCCAGCAUUCAGAGGCAAGGAAGGCUGCCUGAAUUUGUGCCAUUCCUGGCAUUUCUCCUUGUCCUUGCCGAAAGGAAAAGAUAAAAGAAGGACCCAUCCCAGCAGAACACUUGAUUUAGUGCUCCCUCUUCUUCUCAAGGAACAGCAACCUGCCAGGGAUGUGGAGGCACACAGAGGGAGGUGGAGAGACACGGAGGAACGUGGUGGGAUAUGAAGGGACAUGGGGGGCAUGGAAAGACGUGGAGGAAUGUGGAGGGACACGGAGGGUCAUAGAGGAUGACAGGAUCUGGGGUAGGUGUGGAGAGGCACCCCAUGAGCCUGCAGCUGGAGGCGCCUGGUCAAGAACUUGGUUGAUCUGGGAAGAGGGAGGUUGCCUAAGACUAAUUUCUUGUAGUGCUUGGUGGGCUCAGAGCAGGGAGAAGGCAGCUGGUGCUGUUUUGGCCAUGUGCUUAGCAUGUUUGUACCUUGCCCGUCGGCAGGAGGAAACCUGCCUUGUGAGCAUCGUGCCUGGCUGACAGGAUUGGUAUCUGCCCCAUCACCCUUUCCAGCAGAGCUUCUUUUACACUGUUUGGGUAAAGAAUCGAAAUGGUGACCUAAACACAGUAGAGAUAGCAGCGAAAUGUCUAAAGCCAAACGCCUCUCUUAGAAAAGUGAGAGUAAUACCCUGGAAUAAAUGCAGCUUUCUCAUAAGAAUGUGAGCAAAUCUGUGCUUUGUUUUCUUUGGUUAUUUAUGCUAUAAUCAUUGUUUGACUUGACCUAGUAGCUGUGGCAUGCUUCUUGCCAACUUCUUGUAGCAUGCAGCACACAAGGAAUAGGCAUGAGCUUUGUCUCUGCUGUCUCCCUUUGCCUUCAUUUCAGAAAUUACAGAUCCUGUUAAUCUGUGCUUACACUCACAUGAAAGAUUUAGGCAAUGCUGUGCUUUUUCUUUUCCGCAGCCAAUAAACCAGCCAAGAAGUACACUGACCCCUGAGUUUGCGUCAGUCCCUGAGAUUUCUCUUUAGGACUCUCUCAGCUGCAAGUAUCACUAUCCUGACUAUUUGGGGACUUCCAGCUUUGGCUCGGUUGAAUUUUCUUCUGUCUGGAAAUACAUCCUCUUCAGUUGCUCUGGCCACAUUCUCCAUCGAUUGCCGGCUCUUACUAAGCCCAAAGUUUUGAAAUGGCUUUCCUCUCACCAUAACUACUUUUUUUUUGCCAGGUUCCAUUAUAAACUGUCUUCUUCCAGUUUGUCAAGUUAUCCAUUUGUCUAAUAUUUGUACUCAUUUGCUGGUUGUGGAAGUGUGAUGUGUUCAUUUUCUGGUGUCUUUGUGUUUCUUGGGAUGGGGCAGACCCAGUCUCGUUGCGCUCACACUGCAUCACUCAGACACGAGGCACUCCCAGCCCAGAAGCUGCGUGACUCUCUGCAGGCAGCACCGUUCCCUAGCCAGCACGAGGAAUCACCUGCCAUUUGGCUCUAUACCCACCCGGCAGUGCCUACAAAGAAGCCCCUGAGUUCUGUACCAAACCCGCAUCUUGGCCUGCCUUUAUCAGCUCACUGCAGGUGGUGCAGCUGGGCCCUCCGCUGAACCAGAAAGUGUGGCAUUUGCCAGGACUGAAGUGUGUGUGAGUGUGUGCCUGUGGAGAGGAGGGAAACGGUUAUUGUUGUUGUUGUUGUUUUGUUUUGUUUUGUCUGAAAACCCAGCUCAUCUGUGCAUCAUAAAAGGCAUUUUGGAGUCAAGAGGUUUGUGAAGGUUGUGAGUCGGGGUCAUUAGAGCAGUGCUGUGCUGUUGAGACUCUUGCAGGCUACCUCUACGCGUACAGCUGCACAGAAAGAGCCAAGCAAUCUCUUCUCCCAUACACUAAGCCUGCCUGAACUGGAGUGCUUCUGCAUGACUGUGAAGGAAGGAGCUUAAUUCUUCCCCAUGACCUGCUUCGAGCAAAGCUGCAGCAACGAAAUGGACCGUGCUGCGUGAAACGCAGAGUCACGCUAGCGUGAGUCAAACAUCCCCCUCUGGUGCUGGAGAGCUCAGCUAAAGAGCAAGACAAAGGCAAACACAUCAGCAAACUGAAAGCGGGUGCUCUCGUGCUUUCUUCAUGGCAACAGCCCAGCAGACUCCGGCUGAGAUCAGAAAGCACCGUGUCACCUGGAGGUCUGCGGAGAAGCAGAGCGAUGUUGAAGCCUCCCUCCACCCCCAUCAUCAAAGCCUGCAGUAGGUUUCUUUCCACGCGCUUUUUCAUAGCCACUUUUUCAGUGAAAGCAGCCGUUCAAAAGGCAGCAACUCAUGAGCACAGGCGUAGCUUCGUGUGGCUGAACCGAUUAAAAUUACCCUUCAAUGUCACAAGGUAGGGGAUAUUCAAGGAGGAAAAGAGAAACAAAAAAAGUCCCACCUAGGGGACUGGCUAGUUUACAGGGACUGGUAGUGAUGAGAUCACACUGCCACAGUUCAAGGUUACCAGUUUGACUUUAGAUAAGGUUUAGCAGCAGCUAAAAUCUGUAAUGGUGGCUGUUCAGUGGCCUGUGUGAAAUUCAUGGAUAGUCUCUUGUAGACAUUUAAUCUCAGUAGGUAAUUGCUAUGUGUUUAGUAAGAAAUAUCACCAAACAGAACUAUGAAAAUCAUUGGUGGACUGAUGAAUGAUAAUGAAUAACAAAGCUCACUAAAGUCUGAUAUAUCAAGCACUGAUAUAUCAAGUAACAAUUUAUUCACAUCUCUUUGCUCCUGAGCUUUUGUCCUGUUUGUUGGAGAUGGAUGGUAGAGCUUUAGGGCAGAAAUGUUAGCAAAAAAUGUUUUGUAUGCUUGCAACAUAUCAAAAUCUUAUUAUUUUUUUUUCUAUCACAUGCGACUCCGACUUUACAUGUGCCAUAAGAUAGCAGCAUCCAAAUGCUGGGCCUCUUCAGCUUACAGAGAACACCUUGUCUGAAAAGAUGCAGGCUGCUUUAUGCUCUGUAUCUCUGUGUAGGGAGAAUUCAGAGCUUCUGGUGCAGUCCUGUGGUGUGCUCUCCUUUUGCACAGCUCACCGUACUAAAGAUGAAGGUAUUAGUAGCAUUCAGUUUUGGCUUUCACAUAUAUUUUUACUACUGUAAAAUACUUUCAAAACUUCUGUACUGCAGCAGCCUUUUCAUUUGUGUGCUUUUAAGGCAUCUUUGGGUAACAGAAAUUUACACAUGCUGUAAGUAUCAGCAACAAUAUAAAGACCAAAAAGAGGCCUGUCAAAUCUUUCAUUCCUGUAAAAUAAGGUGAAAGAAGAGACUAAAAAUGUUAUUCUCUGUUUUCUGGUGAUAAUAUAUGUUCAUCAGCAAAGUACCAAAUCCAUUGUUAACUAAAGUGAUAAUCUCUGGUAACAAAGGUACUUUCUGGGUACUGGGGAUAGAGGUGCAGGAUGCCUUUAUUUUCAUUAAAUUUCUGAUUAGUCAAUUUUAGGUUCUUGCAAAUAUUGCUGUUAUUUUCUCUUAGCAACACUGGAAAUCAAACAAAAAGGCACGGCACUUUGUUGCUGUAGGUGUAGUCCUGACACCUGGUUCUGUGUAUACACUAGAUAUUUUGAAUCCUGGAGAAACUGCAGUCCAAAGCCACUGCUAGUAGGCAGAAAACACACUGGUAGGUGGCAAAGACAGAGUUCACUGAGCACAUUUUGCAAAAUGCUUUAGGUUAUUUUUGUUUAUUGCUUGGGAUGGUACAAAUAGAUCCAAAUUUAAGCUCAGGGAUUCUUGGGUAUUUUCCUUGUGAGAUCUGUGUCUGUACAGAGAGAGUGUUAUAAUGUGCUUUCUUCUCCUUGGAGAGCGGAUAAUAUCCCCCUGGCAACAUGACAGAUCACUUAAAUGGAACAAUAAUAUCAGGCAAGUGUUUGCAGUUGUCCUUCAGGGUGCGUUAGCAUCUGGAAACGAGAAGGAACGGUGAGCAUUAUAUGGGUAAGCAAUUAGGAAGAUAGAAGUGUGCUGGGGGGAGAGCAGCAUAGUUCAAAACUGGAGUAUUUCAUAAAAAGAGUCAAAAGCAUACCUUUAAGUGAGCAGUUUGGGAAGAUCUUGUUCUGUGAGCUACUGAUGUGACUGCUGAAUAUAAGGGAUAGCCCCCUUUCUCUGUGGUGUACGCCGUUGUCUGAGAGAAGAAUUUGAUCUGGCUUUCCCACCUGCCCAAGGUGGGAAAGCCCCAGUCAGUUCAGUAACUGUCUCCGUGAAGGGCAUAUCUGUGCUCACUGACUUCUCUCAGGCUGGAAAGAAAAUGAAAAAUGAGCACAGAACCACCUCUUUGCAUCUCUACGUGAAACAAGUUGGGAGACCAUCUUCAGCUGAGCCUAAUGGGAAAGCUCCAUCAAGAGCAAGGUGCCUUGUAUAGCAAGCCCUGGUCACAGUCAUUGGCAUUCAGCUGAGAAACAGUCCCCUGCAGUACCCCUACUAACAUUUAUAAUUUGUCCCUUGCAUUGACUGAAAGCUGCCAGGAUCCACGAGGCCCUGGCCUGGAUCUGCUGUGGCCAGAUGGGAUUGCUGGGCCCCAGUCCAUUUCAUGUAGUGCCAUCACUUGCAGAUCUAUGUGCUUCAGCUCAGCUUUGUUGACCAGCCUGGAGUUUCUGCUACCUCUAUGCUAGCCCUACGGUGUGCUACAAAACUCAGAUUUUCACCCAUGCCAAGUUCACUGUGGGUCCUCACCGUGAGGUCCAAGCGCCACUGCCCCACUUUCCAAGGUGGUACUUUCCUUGAGACAAGGGUAUGAAAGGUUGAUGUCUCCAGCAAGGAGGAGAAAUGCCUGAAGUACUAAUCACAUUGCAGCUGAAGAUGGAAAUUAGUGUUAUGAUACCAAAACAAGCAGAUAAAAUAUGAAAGUCAGGCAACUCGGUCAACUUAGAGUUUGACAUAAGGACAGGAUGAUUCCAAUUAGAUGUUCAUGCUUUUAUUUCACUGGUCAUUCCUUUUUUUUUUUUCCUGCUUUUCACAUUAUUUUUUUUUCAAAUAUAAACUGUUUUGAAGGUCAAAGCCUUACAAGGCAGAACAGGUAGUGAAGUUUCAAAUAAUUUUGCAGCAAUGGUCUAUUGCCCACCCAUGCUAGGAACCCACAAUGUAAAAUAACUCAAAAGUCACACUUUGAGCAUUCAUUGCAGGCCCAGUUUGUCCCCUAGCGGUUUUGUUUUUCAGGAUUCAUGUCCAUAUGUGCUCAAAUUUGCAUGUUGUUUUAUGCAUCCAGAAGAGCUAACUUCCUCCUGUUUCUUUCCUUUGGAUGGAUGCUAUGGUUUUAUGUGGGGAUGAGUGACACUUAUGACAGACAGGCUGACAAAACAAGGCAAAACCAUGGGAGUCUGCAACAUCAACAGUUAUGUUGGUGUUUCCAUGUCCCUGCUGAGGAUGGGAAAUGUUUUGCCAUCACUCUUCCUACGUACACAGCCCUAAAGUGUUCAGAAGGGCUAAAUUUCUCAUGAAAUGAUCUUCAAGUGUUGUGCUGUCAUGAUAGGGAGAGAAGUUGGACUCAGUUCUCGUACGCCAUAGUAUAGCAUGGAGCCUCUAUCAGUGGUGUAGAAGGACCUUUUUUGUGGACUGGCACCUAUUUGGAGCAAUCAAAUCCCCAGCCACUGCAGUCAAAAUAGUCUUUUCUCUGUAUUGUUAGGAUAAAUUCCUGCAGUCCAUACCAUACCUUUCUCUGUGCUUGUCUGCUAACUAUGCAGAAAGAGCUAAGCAAUCAUGCAUAAUUCAUUACUCUUAAUUAAAAUGUAAAUUUAUUGUCAGCCUUUUUGGGUAAUUAAAGCACCAUUGGGGGAAUAGGUUUACGUUCUGUAUCUGGAGCUCCUUUUGCUAAAAUAAACACAUGACGCUUUAUGCUCUGUUUGAAGAGGUGCAAUUGAUUACCAAGUGGGACAGAGCUGAACUUCCAGGGGAGGUCCAUCAGCUGGCGUGUGUCUAAUAUUCAACAGAGUGCAAAUCCACUUUGCCAUAAACUGAGCUGGCUUAUUCUCUGUGGAGUUAGAUGCCUGCAUUUCGGAUCUGGCACAGACAUAAAGUAUUAUUUAUAGGUAUAUUUCUCCUCCCCCCUCCUCCCAUCCCCUCCCCAAAUCCAGCCUUUUAUUGGCCUCAAGCUGUUCCUCAGGAGCCUUCAGAGCUACUUUGAUGGAUUGCUGUGCUUACUGUAAACAGUCGACUUACUAGAGUGUCUUGCAGGUUAGGCUUCAUUCUUUAUAGACCUUGAAGCUUCCCAUGCAGUUGGGUAUCCAUUAAACGAAGGAUUAAGUGUAUAGAAAAAAAAAAAAAAAAAAAAAAAAAAAAAAAAAAAGAAAAAGAAAGAAAUGCGUCUUCCACAAGGACAGAGUAGUGCGAGGGUGCUCAGCAGGGGACUUGGUUGUAAUUGUUAGCAUUUUCCCCUUCCUCCCUCAGUGCAAUAAAAUCUUCAAAUUAAAAAGGGAUGUAGUAAAGGUGGUCUUGGGGUUGUGGACGAAGUGCAAAGAGCUCCUCAUGAAAGAAAACUGCCAUGGGGCCACGCAGGGGGAGAGAGAGGGAGAGGCUUCCCGGCUCCCCCUUUCAAAGUGCUGUGGGGAUUAGGCGUGUUUCAGCACUGCUCUUUGGAUUAUUUCUUCCCUCCAACAAAAGCAUGACCUCUCUGUCUCUGCCUGUGUCCCGUCUCUGUCUGUCUCUGCCUCCCGCGGACAGGCGGACAGAGGUCAUUUCAGCUCUGGGGGAGGGUUUGGUGCUGAAGAGAGACAAAGAAGGGAGGCUCUUUGCUGUGCCAUCGCCUGAAGUCACAUUAUUCUCAUGCAAAGGCUACACACAUCUCUCUCGGAAGGUCUGGCAUUCAUUACCUGCCUUCUGCCAUAACCUUACGGCUUCAGAAAUAUGUGGGGAAUUUCAGGAUCCGAUCCCCCAGCCUAAUCACCACAGGGGUUGACCAUGGUCUAAGCCAGGCCUGAGUGAGCCUCGCCAUGCAGCCCGAGGGGGUGCGGGCAGGGUAUGCGCAGCAGGGCGAGGGGCAGGGAGAGGACCAGCAUCAGGGCUGGUUGGAAAGGCCGUCUCUGGACAGCCGUCAGCUCUGCUGCUGAGGGAAGUACCAAGUGAAACUGAUAAUUAUCUACAGCACGUGUACGAGCUGCAGGCCUUUUGAUGUUGGGGCUCAUGUGCGUUGAGUUAGCCAGCACAUCUUAAUCUGAUUGUCUUUGCUUUUUUAAAUGAAGAUUCAGAGAGCUCUUAUCUCCCUGUGUCCCUUCCCUGCCUUUGAACUUUUGUUUCACUGACGUUUUCACAGACGCAGCCUUCCCCCUGCCAGGCCCCACCAGGGCCAGCUCACUGAGGUAACAUGGCAGGUGCCGCUGGCUCGGCGAAACAAGGAGCUCUUCACCUGCCACCGCCUUUCAGCCUGCGACCUUGAAACCUGUUUCAUCGGUGGCACCAGGCAGUAGAAGGGGGAGGCAAAAAGGAGAGACAAACCGGUGGAAGAGGCUCUGAUGGGUUCAAUAAAACCCUGGCUGUUCUGGCCUUCCCUGAGCACCAGCCAUUUCCUCACGGGUGCAGGGAGUCUCCAGAAAGCAAACCCUAAAACUCAUCAGCUCCUCUUGCAAAAGUCAGAGUCUUUGUCCUAACCACAAACACUUCACCAGCACCCCACCCGCCACAAAACACAAUAGCUCAUUCCCUCCAUGGUUCUCCAAGCUUUUCACAGAUAUUAGUCAACGUUUUCAUGUUAUUAUUACAGCUUUACUUUAUUACUCUCCUUUUUUUAAUAAAAAUGCUCAUGCUGCUUUGGCCCAUUUUUUUAUUUUUUUUAUAACCCAGUCUGUUUUAAUAGCUGCAUAUAAGACUGAAUUAAGGGGAAAAAAAUGGAUGCGUUUGACUCAUUUCAGAAUCGUUUCUGAAAUGUUUUUCCAGCAGUCUUGAUGGCCUGCAUCCCCCUAGGGAGGCUCAGGUGCUGGCCAGCAUGAGCUGACCUUGCUGUAGCUUGGUCCAGGAUAUAAGCUUUCCCUCUGCAUCAUGCUGCACUUUUCCUCCUGCCUCUCAUUUCAAGUCUGUAGGCAUCUGUUGCCUGCAACACAGGCACCUUCAGUGGGUACAGUCCUGCCUGGUGCCCUCAAGAGCCCCUCACAUGGCCGGGGAAAGGCCUGGGUAGGGCUCAGGUGCCUGGGGGACGGUGGCUGAGCACACGCGAUGGCUUCACAGCAUUAUCUCACAGCCACACCAGAGUAAUCUCUUAGGUGGAUUAUUUCCAAAGCCACAACGAGAGCGUGCCAUUUCCAGAGUCUCAUGCAAAGCACUUGUGGAGCCAUUUCUCUUUUCGUUUGCCCACCGAUGAAGGUUGGCUAAAGGCUGUGAGACUCUCAGCCUCCUCACAAGAAGAUCGGCAUUGCACGCCUGUAAGGGUAGAUAUUGAUGCUUGUUCUUGGAGCCCAGAGGAGGGUUAAGAGCCCGGCCGUAGCUCAUCUGGCUCUGAAGCCCUUUGAGCACUGUCGUCAAGGGAGGAGGCAGCCAGCUGACAACUGCUGGGUCAAUCCCAGAACAGCUUGCCAGGGAAGCCUAUCAAGUCACAGUAAUCGGGUUUGAUUUAAAUCUUUCUCCUUCUCAUCACCCCUUCUGGAUUAAGUCAUCUCCACCAAAGACGAGAGAGGCUGUCUUGGAAGAAGCACAGACGUGCUCUUGUACAG